rnacentral:rRNA from 1 species
GUGGGGAAUAUUGGGCAAUGGGCGAAAGCCUGACCCAGCAACGCCGCGUGAAGGAAGAAGGUUUUCGGAUCGUAAACUUCUAUCCUUGGUGAAGAUAAUGACGGUAGCCAAGAAGGAAGCCCCGGCUAACUACGUGCCAGCAGCCGCGGUAAUACGUAGGGGGCAAGCGUUGUCCGGAAUGAUUGGGCGUAAAGGGCGCGUAGGCGGCCUGGUAAGUCUGGAGUGAAAGUCCUGCUUUUAAGGUGGGAAUUGCUUUGGAUACUGUCGGGCUUGAGUGCAGGAGAGGUAAGUGGAAUUCCCGGUGUAGCGGUGAAAUGCGUAGAGAUCGGGAGGAACACCAGUGGCGAAGGCGACUUACUGGACUGUAACUGACGCUGAGGCGCGAAAGUGUGGGGAGCAAACAGGAUUAGAUACCCCGGUAGUCC